rnacentral:rRNA from 1 species
GAAUAUUGCACAAUGGGCGCAAGCCUGAUGCAGCAACGCCGCGUGAGGGAUGACGGCCUUCGGGUUGUAAACCUCUUUUAGUAGGGAAGAAGCGUAAGUGACGGUACAUGCAGAAAAAGCACAGGAUAACUACGAGCAAGCAGCCGCGGUAAUACGUAGGGAGCAAGCGUUGUCCGAAAUUAUGGGGCGUAACGAGCUCGUAGGCGGCUUGUCGCGUCUGCUGUGACAACCCGAGGCUCAACCUCGGGCCUGCAGUGGGUACGGGCAAGCUAGAGUGCGGUAGGGGAGAUUGGAAUUCCUGGUGUAGCGGUGGAAUGCGCAGAUAUCAGGAGGAACACCGAUGGCGAAGGCAGAUCUCUGGGCCGUAACUGACGCUGAGGAGCGAAAGCAUGGGGAGCGUAC